UACGAAGGGGGCUAGCGUUGUUCGGAAUUACUGGGCGUAAAGCGCACGUAGGCGGAUUUGCCAGUCAGGGGUGAAAUCCCGGGGCUCAACCUCGGAACUGCCUCUGAUACAGCAAGUCUUGAGUCCGGAAGAGGUGGGUGGAAUUCCUAGUGUAGAGGUGAAAUUCGUAGAUAUUCGGAAGAACACCAGUGGCGAAGGCGACACACUGGCUCACUACUGACGCUGAGGCGCGAAAGCGUGGGGAGCAAACAGG
rnacentral:rRNA from 1 species